AACCUCCGCAAUGUGAGAAAUCGCGACGGGGGGAUCCCAAGUGCCAUUCUUAACGGGAUGGCUUUUCAUUAGUGUAAAGAGCUUUUGGAAUAAGGGCUGGGCAAGACCGGUGCCAGCCGCCGCGGUAACACCGGCAGCUCUAGUGGUAGCAGUUUUUAUUGGGCCUAAAGCGUCCGUAGCCGGUUUAAUAAGUCUCUGGUGAAAUCCUGUAGCUUAACUAUGGGAAUUGCUGGAGAUACUAUUAGACUUGAGACCGGGAGAGGUUAGAGGUACUCCCAGGGUAGAGGUGAAAUUCUGUAAUCCUGGGAGGACCGCCUGUUGCGAAGGCGUCUAACUGGAACGGUUCUGACGGUGAGGGACGAAAGUUAGGGGCGCGAACCGGAUUAGAUACCCGGGUAGUCCUAACCGUAAACGAUGCGGACUUGGUGUUGGGGUGGCUUUGAGCUGCUCCGGUGCCGAAGGAAGCUGUUAAGUCCGCCGCCUGGGAAGUACGGUCGCAAGACUGAAACUUAAAGGAACU
rnacentral:rRNA from 1 species